GCUCACCCCCUCGCCACCCUAACCCAUCCGCCUYGGCAGAUGGGUGACGGGAAGGCGGAUCUGGCCGUCUCUGUGCUCCUUGAGAGCGCAGGGUCGGCUGAAGAAUAGAGGCUUGAGCAUGGUCCCGCUGAAAGGGCSCCAGCUUGGUAGGGUAGCUCACGCUCCAUGCCGCUGUUGCCCCUAGGAACC
rnacentral:misc_RNA from 1 species